rnacentral:rRNA from 1 species
AAGUGCCUUCGGGAGCUCUGAGACAGGUGCUGCAUGGCUGUCGUCAGCUCGUGUUGUGAAAUGUUGGGUUAAGUCCCGCAACGAGCGCAACCCUUAUCCUUUGUUGCCAGCGAUUCGGUCGGGAACUCAAAGGAGACUGCCGGUGAUAAACCGGAGGAAGGUGGGGAUGACGUCAAGUCAUCAUGGCCCUUACGAGUAGGGCUACACACGUGCUACAAUGGCGUAUACAAAGAGAAGCGACCCCGC